rnacentral:rRNA from 1 species
GUGGGGAAUCUUAGACAAUGGGCGCAAGCCUGAUCUAGCCAUGCCGCGUGAGCGAUGAAGGCCUUAGGGUUGUAAAGCUCUUUCGUGGGGGAAGAUAAUGACUGUACCCCAAGAAGAAGCCCCGGCUAACUCCGUGCCAGCAGCCGCGGUAAUACGGAGGGGGCUAGCGUUGUUCGGAAUUACUGGGCGUAAAGCGCACGUAGGCGGACUGGAAAGUCAGGGGUGAAAUCCCGGGGCUCAACCCCGGAACUGCCUUUGAAACUCCUGGUCUUGAGGUCGAGAGAGGUGAGUGGAAUUCCGAGUGUAGAGGUGAAAUUCGUAGAUAUUCGGAGGAACACCAGUGGCGAAGGCGGCUCACUGGCUCGAUACUGACGCUGAGGUGCGAAAGCGUGGGGAGCAAACAGGAUUAGAAACCCCAGUAGUCC